rnacentral:misc_RNA from 1 species
GAUGAAGAACGUAGCAAAAUGCGAUAAGUAAUGUGAAUUGCAGAAUUCAGUGAAUCAUCGAAUCUUUGAACGCACAUUGCGCCCGCUAGUAUUCUGGCGGGCAUGCCUGUCCGAGCGUCAUUUCAACCCUCAAGCCCCCGGGCUUGGUGUUGGGGAUCGGCGAGCCUCCGCGCCCGCCGUCCCCUAAAUCUAGUGGCGGUCUCGCUGUAGCUUCCUCUGCGUAGUAGCACACCUCGCACUGGGAAACAGCGCGGCCACGCCGUUAAACCCCCAACUUCUGAACGUUUGACCUCGGAUCAGGUAGGAAUACCCGCUGAACUUAAGCAUAUCAAUAAGCGGAGGA